GAUGUAGUUGGUUUGGCCUUUGUCGUAUCAUUGAGGGAGAGAAUAAGAGACCGCAAAAUAAAAAAGGAGUUGCUAGGAGAAACAGCCUAGCGGUAAAGAACCCUACCUCAUUCCCGUCGCCGCCGCCUCUCACCUUCUCCUCCCCUCGCGCUCCCCCUUCACUUGAUGCACCUCGCCGUCAGUCUCCUCCUCGAGCAGGGCGGCACGACUCUAGGUGGUGGCUCCAGUUCUUUGCAGAAGCCGGCGGCUCUCGUUGCCGAGCAUAGCAAAAGUGCAGGAGCGGUCGCCAAGAUGGUGAGGCGGUGGAGGAGGAGGUCCGAUCUCCCUGCCGCUCUACCCAUCCUUGCCGGGCCAGCCACCCCUCCAAACAUCCACCGGCCUUUCUCCCCUCUCGGUUUUGCCUUCAUUGAGACGUCAUGCGCUCCCUGAUCUGCUCUGAGCUCGCUGAUCCACGACCCUGGGGCGACCUGAUGAACUAUGCAGACAUGGUGUUCGACGGAAUAUCUAUAUGGUCGUCGAGCAGCUUGUAGGUGGUGGAGAAUACAUGAGGUCCAGCUUCUAAAUCUUGUGAGGUUCCCCUGAGCCUUUCAAGUGUUUUAUUCACAUUUGUGCUAUGGUCUAACUUAUUUUAGUGAUGUGAAGUUGUUGCUUCUCCCCUCUACAUAUUAGCGUUCGUGCCUAUUAUUCCUCUACGGAGCCUUGGUCCAUUCUUGUAUUAUAUCUGUGCGAUCUUUCUUUAUUCGUUGUAGCACUUGUAUGAUCCUAAAUAUUUUGGAGCUGCUGCCGAAAGGGACGACAAGGAGCACAAGGAGCACAAACAGACGAGAAGAAGCCGACAAGGACGUUCAGAUCCGUCGCCUGCGCCCCCAACGAUGCUAUCGUCCGUGUCCCCGGCGCAUCCACGGUCCAUGUCCCUGGUUCAGGUACACACUACCACUGGUUUCUUGAUGGGGCUGGAACAUGAGGACGUUGGAUACAAACGAGGAAAAAGGCUGGUGAGAGGGCGGCUCAAUCUGGCCGUGGCAAUGUGUUUUUGUUCAGGUGUAGUCUGAAGCAAGAAGAUGACGUUCUACAAAAGAUUAGGCACAAACCUUGCUAUUCAAGCAUGUAAUGGUUGGACGUUUUUAGGAUUUGAAGCAUAGUGGCAUGCAAAUUUUAGCAUCUGAUCAAUCUGCUUGAAGGUCUUGACAUGGACUUCAUCUAUCUCAUCUAUAAGGAGCACGGGAUGGUGACCGAGGACUAAGCUGGCAACCAAGAAGGCUGUGGAAUGGCGAGUAGGGGUGGCGGGGGAUAAGUGUAGGGGUACAGAUGGUGGAGUGAGUACCACACAUACCUUCAUAGCUAUGAUACUGAAAGAGAGUAUGUCAAUUACUCCGCGAGGAACUAUCCAAGCAACUCAAUGUAUGCACCACAGGUCAUGUUAUGAAAAUAUUUUUAUUUUGUACAAUGCUUUGAAUUUCCUUUGGACUAGCUACUUCAGUUCUCUAGCAAAAGUGGAUGGAGCCUUAUAUAGAUACUCAUUGGUCAUCUGCCAAGGUAGGUAUGGGCCAUUUGAAAAUCAUGGAAUGACACUAUUAUCUGCAUGUGUUGUAGUGCCCUCAUAAUUUUUUUAUUCAAUGGGGUAAAAUAUCUUCCUGAGGAGCUUGUUAAUUUCACUAAAUACUUAUAAAGUUGUGCAUUUGUGUUCUGGAUUGCCCCCCCUACCCCUUGUGGGGUACCAUACGCUGUUUGCUCCUUGUGGUGAUUAGUAUUGUCCUACAGGUAUCAGAGAAAUUGAAUGUUAGGUACUAGAUACAAUGAAAUUUGUUUAAUAAUUUGAUGACAACUUACAAAUCGUGACCCGUCAUUACGUGACCGAUUUUUCUAUCUGAUGUAUUAGUAUCUAAAAUGAUCUAAUAAGCGAAGCGACGAAAAGGUAAUGUUUGUGUGGCUUGGGAUAAACAAUUGUUUCAUUGUUGGUGCCCUUUAGUGGCCUUUCUUUUGUUUCAUACGUUGUCAACUCGUUUCCUUGAGAAUGGUAGCUUCGAUACUUCAGUGUUCGAGUAGUAAGGGAAAUAAAUUGGUUGGCAUUUUUUCUUGUCUUUGUCCCCUCCAUUGUCCAUGUUACAUGCAUUAUGUCAUGCGUCAGUCCUGGACUCCUGGAUUACAAAUAUUUAAUCAUUGUUGCUUCUCCUUGUAUAAGGUUGUCAUGUUAGUUGAGCUAUCAGAUACUGCCAUCACAUGCAUAGUGAGUUCAUGCAUGGUGAAUGGUGAUGCCAUCAAUCUCCCUAGAGUGAAAAUGGUUAAAAUAUGCAAGCCGGUGGUUGACCUUACCUCAAUAUGGUGGAGUGAACAAAAAACCUGCUUGUGUUUGAUAAUUGCCACCAUACUUCCUGAAAUCACGUGAAAUGUUUUGUGUCAUGAAAUUAAUGACAUGUCUCCUCGGAGCACAUUGUGUUAUGCACCUGCUAUUGUCAAAUAGUCUAUUAGAUGAUACAUUUAAUGUUCUGUGUUGUUUCUCACUGCUGUAAGGAAUAUCUGUGUGCCUGAACUCAUUUCUUCAUUCCGGUACUUGAUUAUGCCAUGAAAAUAGCUUAUGUAUUUUUUUACUUGUGUCAACAGGCUAGAUUUGUGAUGCUGUAGAAGUGGCUGGGAAGGACGUGCUGUUAACAUCAUCGACCGUGGUGACCGGUUUUUGUGUCUCACAAGUACUGUUAUUCUACCGCACAUCCUCGUUUCUGCUCCUCCUUGGACAACAGUUCUGGGAAUCUUCCCAUACACUGUGCUUCUUCUCCUUCAGGUACUAAGCGAAAGAUGCUGCUGCCACGAAUAAAGGGCUCAAUGAUGCCGGCUAUAUGAUGGGGUUGGCAUGGGCUGUGUUCCAAGAUCUGGCAGGCCAUCUACCUGAAGAGCAUCCUGAAGUCCACAGGGCUCCCCAUGUCCACCAUCAAGGCCGCGGCCGCUGACUCCUGAUCGUAGAGUAGCAAUUCUCAACCACUGGCAAAUAGAAGCCUGCAUUCUCAGUCCCUGCCUGUAGAUAUCUGUGAUGAAAACAAAGAGCAACCUUAGUGUCAUGUCCUAUUCCAAUAUUUCCCUGCUGCUGUAAACGUUUUUGUGCUGGAAACUAGACAUCAUUGUUUGGUUUGGUUAUGUGUUUAUGCAAUGCAGUACACUUGUUUGUACCUC